rnacentral:misc_RNA from 1 species
AAGAGUGUUUCUAAGCUCAAAUUUUCAAGACGAGAAAUGAAGAAUUUAAAUCCCAACACUCGCUUUCCACUCAAAAGUUGACAUCCAAGUCCAACUACUUCUCUCAGGCUGGCAGGCAUGGCAUAUUUGAAGAAAAGGAUAGAACGGUAUUGCACUUGCAAUUAUGCUUCCUAGUCAGCUCAGGUGACUGAAUCCAUUUUCAUGAGCACUUUAUGCCCCA